GUGGUCGACGGCGGCAGGGGGUGGUCGGGGUCGGGCUGUACUGCGGCAGGGGGCUCGUGGCUGGGCUUGACGGCGGGUGGGGGGCUCUUGGGUCUGGGCUCGAUGGCGCAGGGGCUGGACAUUUUCUCAGUCCAUUCCAUCGUCACUCAGGUAUGGAGACUCUCAGUCACUGCCCUCCAUCUCUCAAUCUCACUGCCCUCCCUCUCUCACUCUGGUCUCACUCUCUCAAGAACUGGCACCUGAAUCAGACCAAGUUCAACAAACUGCCCAAGACACUGGAGAGAUUUUUACAGAUUCAGGUCCUUCACAGGAGGGCAAAAGUGCAGAAAAAGGGAAAGAAAAGGAUAAGGAGAAGAGUAAAGACCCUGAAAAAGAGAAAGGGAAAGAAAAAGAUGCUGAUAAGAAAGGAGACACAGAAAAAGAGAAAUUAAAAAGUAUUGAAGGGACAAAUUUAGAUGCCUUAUUGCUGAGGCUUCCAGGUUGUGUAAGCCGUGAUCUUAUAGAUCAAUUGACAGAUCAAAUGAACAUUGAAACAAGGAUUAUGAACAUUAGGUUUAUUGGAGAACUAUGCAAGUUUAAAAUCACACCAGCUGGUCUUGUUUUUAGUUGUCUGAAGGUAAUGUCCUAGUUGCUGUAUAUAUUCAUUUCUGUUAUAUUUGUUUGAAGGUAAAAUCGCACCAGCUGGUC